rnacentral:rRNA from 1 species
GGGUCAGUAGGUUGGUCGUGCCACCGGUACGUACUGGUCUCACUGAUUCCUCCUUCCUGAAGAACCGUAAUGCCAUUAAUUUGGUGUUGCGGGGAAACAGGACUGUUACUUUGAAAAAUUAGAGUGUUUAAAGCAAGCUAACGCUUGAAUACAUUAGCAUGGAAUAAUGAAAUAGGACAAUCGAUCCUAUUUUGUUGGUUUCUAGGAUUGACGUA